rfam:Heterocephalus glaber contig179877, whole genome shotgun sequence.
CCAAAGGCUCUUUUCAGAGCCACCCAUUUCUUCAUAACUGGAGCUG